rnacentral:rRNA from 1 species
GACGUAGGAUGCAAGCGUUGUCCGGAAUUAUUGGGCGUAAAGAGUUCGUAGGCGGUUACCUAAGUCUGGUGUUAAAGCCCGAAGCUCAACUUCGGCAUGGCAUUGGAAACUGGGUGGCUAGAGUGUGGUAGAGGUAUCGGGAAUUCCUGGUGUAGCGGUGAAAUGCGUAGAUAUCAGGAGGAACACCGGUGGCGAAAGCGCGAUACUGGGCCAUAACUGACGCUGAGGAACGAAAGCUAGGGGAGCGAAAGGG